rfam:Streptomyces sp. CNQ-509, complete genome.
CUUGAUGGAGCCCAGCCACAGCGGGCGUUCCUCGCUGUGUGCCUGGCCGUACGUGGCGAGGAGCGCCUGCGCCUC